CCACGACGAUGACUAUUUGCUCAAUCAUUCGCAGUUUCCUCCAUAAAGAUUUUUUCCUCAUGUUGGAUCAAUCUUCCUUGGAUGUCUGAUUGA
rnacentral:snoRNA from 1 species